GACGGGUGAGAAUCCCGUCCACCGAUUGACUAAGGUUUCCAGAGGAAGGCUCGUCCGCUCUGGGUUAGUCGGGUCCUAAGCUGAGGCCGACAGGCGUAGGCGAUGGAUAACAGGUUGAUAUUCCUGUACCACCUAUAAUCGUUUUAAUCGAUGGGGGGACGCAGUAGGAUAGGCGAAGCGUGCGAUUGGAUUGCACGUCUAAGCAAUAAGGCUGAGUAUUAGGCAAAUCCGGUACUCGUUAAGGCUGAGCUGUGAUGGGGAGAAGACAUUGUGUCUUCGAGUCGUUGAUUUCACACUGCCGAGAAAAGCCUCUAGAUAGAAAAUAGGUGCCCGUACCGCAAACCGACACAGGUAGUCAAGAUGAGAAUUCUAAGGUGAGCGAGCGAACUCUCGUUAAGGAACUCGGCAAAAUGACCCCGUAACUUCGGGAGAAGGGGUGCUCUUUAGGGUUAACGCCCAGAAGAGCCGCAGUGAAUAGGCCCAAGCGACUGUUUAUCAAAAACACAGGUCUCUGCUAAACCGUAAGGUGAUGUAUAGGGGCUGACGCCUGCCCGGUGCUGGAAGGUUAAGAGGAGUGGUUAGCUUCUGCGAAGCUACGAAUCGAAGCCCCAGUAAACGGCGGCCGUAACUAUAACGGUCCUAAGGUAGCGAAAUUCCUUGUCGGGUAAGUUCCGACCCGCACGAAAGGCGUAACGAUUUGGGCACUGUCUCAACGAGAGACUCGGUGAAAUCAUAGUACCUGUGAAGAUGCAGGUUACCCGCGACAGGACGGAAAGACCCCGUGGAGCUUUACUGUAGCCUGAUAUUGAAAUUCGGCACAGCUUGUACAGGAUAGGUAGGAGCCUUUGAAACGUGAGCGCUAGCUUACGUGGAGGCGCUGGUGGGAUACUACCCUAGCUGUGUUGGCUUUCUAACCCGCACCACUUAUCGUGGUGGGAGACAGUGUCAGGCGGGCAGUUUGACUGGGGCGGUCGCCUCCUAAAAGGUAACGGAGGCGCUCAAAGGUUCCCUCAGAAUGGUUGGAAAUCAUUCAUAGAGUGUAAAGGCAUAAGGGAGCUUGACUGCGAGACCUACAAGUCGAGCAGGGUCGAAAGACGGACUUAGUGAUCCGGUGGUUCCGCAUGGAAGGGCCAUCGCUCAACGGAUAAAAGCUACCCCGGGGAUAACAGGCUUAUCUCCCCCAAGAGUUCACAUCGACGGGGAGGUUUGGCACCUCGAUGUCGGCUCAUCGCAUCCUGGGGCUGUAGUCGGUCCCAAGGGUUGGGCUGUUCGCCCAUUAAAGCGGUACGCGAGCUGGGUUCAGAACGUCGUGAGACAGUUCGGUCCCUAUCCGUCGUGGGCGUAGGAAAUUUGAGAGGAGCUGUCCUUAGUACGAGAGGACCGGGAUGGACAUACCUCUGGUGUACCAGUUGUCGUGCCAACGGCAUAGCUGGGUAGCUAUGUGUGGACGGGAUAAGUGCUGAAAGCAUCUAAGCAUGAAGCCCCCCUCAAGAUGAGAUUUCCCAACUUCGGUUAU
rnacentral:rRNA from 1 species